CUUCCUCUUCAUCUGUAAAACGGGCUAAUGAAAGCACAUCGGAUCGUUUUGAGGACUGGAUGAAGCCAUGCAUGGAAAACACUUUGCGUUUAAAGAAACGUGAACUCCAUUUCACUACGCUGAAGACAGUUAAGCAUGUAGAGAAGUGGAGUAGCAGCCAGCACAAGUGGGGGGCAUGAAUCUGUCCCUCCUGACAGCAGCUUGUGGAGAGCUUUGGCCUGGGAAGUGCCGCAGGGGUGAAGAAUUAAAGAGAAGGCACAAAGAGGCCGAAAGCAGAGUGGGUGUGAACCGUCUGUAAAUAGGACUUUUGAAGAUGUAAUGAGUUAAGCUGUCCCCAGAUUGAAGGAGGGUGGCCUUAACCCAAUAUGGCUGAAGUCCUUAUAAGUGAAGGAAAUUGGACACAGAGAGGCCACGGGGAGAAGCUGGAAGUCAACAGAACCCAGAAGAGAAAGGAGAAGAUGCU